UGUGGACCAAUGAGCACGACAGCCAGAGGUGGUUUCCAAUACUUCGUGACUUUCACUGACGACUUGAGUAGAUAUGGACAUGUCUACUUGAUGAGGCACAAGUCAGAAACUUUUGAAAAGUUCAAGGAGUUUCAGAACGAAGUGGAAAAUCAACUCGGCAAGAAAAUCAAACUUCUACGAUCUGAUCGUGGCGGUGAGUAUAUGAGUCAGGAGUUUGAUGAUCAUCUGAAGAAUCGUGGAAUAGUUCCACAACUGACUCCUCCGGGUACGCCACAGAGAAAUGGUGUGUCAGAACGGAGGAAUCGGACCCUGUUGGACAUGGUCCGAUCGAUGAUGAGUCAGUCGGAUUUACCCUUGUCAUUUUGGGGAUACGCUCUAGAAACUGCAGCUUUCACACUAAACAGGGUACCAUCUAAGUCCGUUGAUAAGACACCAUAU
rnacentral:rRNA from 1 species